rnacentral:piRNA from 1 species
UACGAGAUGGCCCCUUGCUCUAAAUUU